AGUCGAACGGCAGCGCGGGGCAACCUGGCGGCGAGUGGCGAACGGGUGAGUAAUAUAUCGGAACGUACCCAAGAGUGGGGGAUAACGUAGCGAAAGUUACGCUAAUACCGCAUACGAUCUAAGGAUGAAAGCAGGGGAUCUUCGGACCUUGUGCUCCUGGAGCGGCCGAUAUCUGAUUAGCUAGUUGGUGAGGUAAAGGCUCACCAAGGCUACGAUCAGUAGCUGGUCUGAGAGGACGACCAGCCACACUGGAACUGAGACACGGUCCAGACUCCUACGGGAGGCAGCAGUGGGGAAUUUUGGACAAUGGGCGAAAGCCUGAUCCAGCAAUGCCGCGUGAGUGAAGAAGGCCUUCGGGUUGUAAAGCUCUUUUGUCAGGGAAGAAACGGUUUGGGCUAAUACCCUGAGCUAAUGACGGUACCUGAAGAAUAAGCACCGGCUAACUACGUGCCAGCAGCCGCGGUAAUACGUAGGGUGCAAGCGUUAAUCGGAAUUACUGGGCGUAAAGCGUGCGCAGGCGGUUUUGUAAGUCUGACGUGAAAUCCCCGGGCUCAACCUGGGAAUUGCGUUGGAGACUGCAAGGCUAGAAUCUGGCGGAGGGGGGUAGAAUUCCACGUGUAGCAGUGAAAUGCGUAGAGAUGUGGAGGAACACCGAUGGCGAAGGCAGCCCCCUGGGUCAAGAUUGACGCUCAUGCACGAAAGCGUGGGGAGCAAACAGGAUUAGAUACCCUGGUAGUCCACGCCCUAAACGAUGUCUACUAGUUGUCGGGUUUUAAUUAACUUGGUAACGCAGCUAACGCGUGAAGUAGACCGCCUGGGGAGUACGGUCGCAAGAUUAAAACUCAAAGGAAUUGAC
rnacentral:rRNA from 1 species